rnacentral:rRNA from 1 species
AUUGAACGCUGGCGGCAUGCUUUACACAUGCAAGUCGAACGGCAGCGCGGGCUUCGGCCUGGCGGCGAGUGGCGAACGGGUGAGUAAUACAUCGGAACGUGCCCAGUAGUGGGGGAUAGCUCGGCGAAAGCCGGAUUAAUACCGCAUACGACCUGAGGGUGAAAGCGGGGGAUCUUCGGACCUCGCGCUAUUGGAGCGGCCGAUGGCAGAUUAGCUAGUUGGUGGGGUAAAGGCCUACCAAGGCGACGAUCUGUAGCUGGUCUGAGAGGACGACCAGCCACACUGGGACUGAGACACGGCCCAGACUCCUACGGGAGGCAGCAGUGGGGAAUUUUGGACAAUGGGCGAAAGCCUGAUCCAGCAAUGCCGCGUGUGUGAUGAAGGCCUUCGGGUUGUAAAGCACUUUUGGCGGGAACGAAAAGGACUGUGCCAAUACCACGGUUCGAUGACGGUACCCGCAGAAUAAGCACCGACUAACUACGUG